rnacentral:lncRNA from 1 species
AUAGGUAGUUCAUCUCCUUCUAAGAAAAAUAUCCAAAGUUUUCAUUUUUGAUCGAAUUCCGUCUAGUAAGCCUCGAGAUCUUACAGAUGCUGUUGAGAAUCGUCAUUAACCAAUCAUGUAUCGGACGCACCAUCCCUUGAAGUAAGUAAAGGGCGCAAAGAUGCGGAUUUGACCCGCACCCUCUUUCUUUUUCUUUAAAUAAAGA